rnacentral:lncRNA from 1 species
UGACAAAGAACUUUCAAGUUCAAGUCCUUCCAUUGAGUUCUUCAAGCAGAGCGGUUGGAGUGAUCCACUAGUCAUGAAGCUUUUGCAGAGGGAACCCAGGCUUCUACGUGCUAACGUAGAGACUAUCCUGAAGCCCAGGAUGAGAUCUUUGCAGGACAUGGGAUUUUCUGACACCGAAAUAGUUCAGCUGGUUUCAUCAUGUCCGUGUCUGCUCUAUUUACGUGAUAUCCAACCAAGGAUCAACUUCUGGAGGUCACUUCUUGGUUCUAAUGAGAGGUUAAUUAAAGCCAGCAGGGGGAACAUGUUUCUCCUUACUUCUAGCGUGGCUCAAAAGAUUGAGCCCAAUAUAUCUCUCUUGAGGGAACGUGGCAUCAGUGAGCAAUGCAUCACGCAGAUGUUGGUGGCAGUACCGAGUUUUUUUUGUCGAAUGAACAAAUAUAUCGACGAAUCUAUCAAACGUGUUGAAGAGUUGGGAGUGUCACGUGACUCUAAAAUGUUCCCUCAUGCACUUUUAACAGUCAUGACCUUGAGCAGGUCCAGGUUUGAUGCUACCUUUGCAACCUUGAUGAGCUUUGGGUGGUCCCAACCAGACAGCCUUGCUACAUUCAGGAGGUAUCCAUUCAUUUGGAAUUACUCAAAGAAGAACUUAUCUGACAAGAUGACAUUCCUGAUGAAGGAAGCUGGUUGUGAGCUGACAUAUAUCAUUGGCCAUCCCACGCUUCUUACAUUUAGCUUGGAGAAGAGGUUGAGACCUCGAUGUGAAGUUAUGAAUUUUCUUGAUCAUAAUAAAUUGCUGGAUAAAGGACAUGACCUGCUAUCUGUCAUGCUGCUAAGCGAAGAGAAGUUCAGAAACAAAUUCCUUUUCCUGCUACGCAAGGAGAAAUUUAUUGCUCAAUAUGAUUCCUAUGUUGUUGCUGUGCACGGAAAGCAUGACGUUAUUGCCGAAAACUAGGAUUGCAAGUGCUUCCUUAAGACAAAGUGUCGACCUAUUGCAUGCUGACUGCAAAUUAAUCAUUUUACAUUUGUGACAAUUUAAAAUUCUCCUUGAGUUUCUUGGAGUAUAACUUCCCUGUUGAUUUGGUGAUUGUUCUUCUAUUUAUGUUUUCUACAACAAAAGGUACUCAUUCUUUUAUGCUGAUGUCUCAGAAAUUGGUAUGGGGGAAAGUCAAUUACUUAAGAAAGAUAACCAAAAUAUCAAGCUUUUGUGUUCUGUUUCUAUCAUAUUUACCUGAUUCCGCCAGCCAUAUUGAUAACUGUGCUGUCAUUUAGAUGAUUGUGAUCUAAUUUAAUAAGGAUACCUUCCUUUUGAAUGGGGACAUCUCAAAGAAUUAUGUAAGAGCCGCUUGGACAGAAAAUACUUCAAAGGCAACCACAGAUGUGGAUAUGACUAACAUUUUUGUUGUAGUCAUAUACACACUCGCUCAUUAAAUAAUUAAGUCCAGUUUAACCGUUUAAUUGAACGCAUUAAACAAACGAUCUAUAUUAAGUUUGAUACACAUCUGUAUUGUUAUAUAAUUAGAUUAUGUGUUUUACUUUGCUUGUGCGAUCUAAUAGACCCAACAUGGCUCCCGUUUAAUUGUGUGUUUCAUUUUUUUCUUAUAAUGUUGUAUUAUCAUUUUGGUGUCUUCAACAUAAGGAAUAGUAUCAUUAUUUUUUUAGUGAUAUGUUUAGUUACUAAAAUUUUAACUUAAUAAAUAAUUCUAAGAGGAAAGACUUAGAAAAGUGAACAAAAUAUAUUGUUGGAUGGUUGUUGGGGAACUAUUGAUUAUAAAUCAGUAAUGAUGUUAUGAUGUUAAAGAGUGUAAAAUUAUUUUUAAAAAUUCUGAAAAGACAUAAAAGAUAUGUAUUUGUAAGAUUUUGGAUAAUAAAAAAAUACAAAUGGAGUUUACAUUUUUCAGCAAUAGUUUUUGAACCAAACAAGUUUCAAAAAAUUUACUGCUUAUGUCCUCAUUUAUUUUUCAAUAUAUUCCCUAUUAUGCAUUAAUAGACCUAGUUGAAUAGAUGAUAAUGCUAUAAAUCAGAUACUCCUCAUGAUUGAAAAAUUAGAAAAUAUCAAGAUUUUUGUAUUUAAGUUAUUCGGACUCAUUAAAACUCUACGACAACAUGUUUUUUUUAGUUAAUAAUUUAUUGAUAAGUCCCUUCCACAAGUCACUGACAAUCACUUCCUCAUAUGUUUAUUUCAUAAUAUAAUUAUUUAUUUUAAUUUUUUUAAAAAAUAAAUGGCUAACAUAAGAUUUCAUCACGUGAGGAUAUUGAGUUCAUUAAAAAAGGUCUUCUUCUUCGUGGCCCCUUUAGCAAGAAACUUUCAAUUAGGAAGAUCCGUGAAAACAACAAACAAUAACCUUUAGUACUUUGAAUAAGUAUCUUAUUAAAUUAUUUCUCGAGCACUCUACAUUUACAUGUUUGAUCGGACCAAUUAAGUUGCAAUAUUAUCGACUACUUCUGUCUUUUUUUUUUUUCGUUAGGCCUUGAUAAAAAUCAUAUAUAUUUCUGUAAAGUCGAUAAAGUUAUCAUCUAAGUAAGAUACUUGAAACUAGUUAUGACAUACUACUAUUGGGAUGCAUCCGUAAAUUAUAACAGACUUCUCCAAAAUAGACCCAAAAUCUCAAUGUAUUUAGUUAAGUAUAACUAGUCCUAACUAAAUCACAACUGGUUUGUUGUGAUGGGUUUGAAUCACAACUAAAUCAAUGCAUUUAGUUAGGUAUAAAUAUGACUGGUUUGAAUUGAAUCAAACCAGAAUCGAUGGUUCGUUGAUUGCAAAUCAAAUCGUAAUCUACUAGGGGUUGUUUAAUUGAGGUUUCAAGGUUUGAAAAAUUAGAAUCAACGAUACCAUAAUUGAUUAUUCCGCUUCCUAUUUAAACCAUCGAUUUGAUGGUGUUUUAUAUAGAUAAAAACCUUGAUCAAAUAGGUUGUAGAUAGAUAAUUUGGCUUAAACGAUUGGGCCCAAUAGUAUGUGCAUGGACUAUAUUUAGGGGUACUUUAGUUAUUUUAUAAUUAAAAAUAUUAAAAAUUAGAAAACAAAUUAGUCCUUCCAAUAAGCAAAUAAUAGCUAGUUAUGAAGAUAUUUUAAGAAAAAAUUAAAACCCUAUAGAUACCCCAAAAAUCUUUUAUUGUUUCUCGCAUCAUCGAUUAAGUACUUGUUGAAGUUUGAACGCUUUGAUGCUUUUUUCUUAAUCUGAUGGCAAGUGGAAGCUAUCACUUCACCACAGAGGAGGCUUUUGAAAAUCUGAUCUUGAUAAUUCAAGAAAGCCAACAUAUCAAUGUUGAUGUUAAGAUGUUGAUAGAUGACUUUUAAAAAUAUAGAAGAAAGAAGAUAUGAUGACCAAACUCAAGUUAGACAUCUUCAAGUUAUACUUUAAAAACAUCUGAAACACUGAUAGCUCCUUCCAUAUUGUAAUUAUUGAGACUAAAUUUUUAAAUACAAAGAGGGAAGAAGAUAUAGAAUAUUUUGAAAGUAUAUCAAGAAGAAACAUCCAUUACAAGUUGGUACGAUUAUACCAGUGAAGAUUCUCAAUAAAAAGUUAAUUUUUCUUCAUUAAUGAUUGGUUGCAUAAAGUUCUUUACUAUACUAUAGCAGAAGCGAUUGACGACACCGGGCGCCCGAUAAGUGGGCCGGGCGGAUGAGUUCGACCGGGUGCGGCCCAGGCGCCGCAUGAUUUGGCUGUGUCGAGCCUUAGUCAAGUCUAUUUGGAACUAAGGUUCGAUUGAACCAGAUGAGAACGGCAUCCUCAAAGUCGCACCCGUGCCCUAAAUGCCGCGGUGAAACUGUCUCCUCCUCUACAGCGACCACGACUGCGGCGUUUUCCACGGAGAACGGUGCAUGCUGCGGCUUCCUCUCCGUCGGCGAACGGUGACAGCGCCCGGUAUCUCUCUCUUACUCCUCCUCUUCCUCCUUCGCCGUUAGUUAUAUGUGCUUUCCCUGCACAUCAUCAACAGUGGCUUCUUUAGCAUGUUGAACCUCACAAAUUACUGUUGUUAAUUUCUUAAACAGUGUGUUUUCUAAUUACCAGUCUUGUUAGACCUAUAACAAAAUCAUCUCUUUACAUUCUUGUUGAAAAGGAUCAAUUAUUCUGGAAGUGCUCAUUUGAACUGUUACAGGUUUUAGUUGUAGGACAUUAGUGAAUCUGAUGUUAGACAAAACAUUAUGCAUCUUCCACCUAAUCUUAGUGCUGAAGUACCCAUUGCAAGUCAUCGACUGAUGUUCAACCUAUUAGUACAAAGUUGAAAAUCAUCUGUAUACAAUCAACAUAGUAAAUGCCAUUGUCACUCUUAUGCUGCAUAUUUGAUGAAAAUACAUUUGAUAUAAUUUUUCAAUAUCUGCAUGGAUAUAGUGUGCUUCACAGUUUCUAAAGCUACUACCUACAAUAGAUAAAUAGCGGAAGGUAGUGUCAGUGUGCAUGUGUCAUAUCAAGACAUUAUUUCAGUGGUGGUUAAUACCUUGGAUGUGAGCAUGGUAAUAAGUAAAUGAUCAAUGGUACCCGUAAUCAACAUUCAAACACCAUUUAGAGGCUUACAUCUGAAAGAAAUGGUUAAUGGGAACUGAAUGCAGGUGGAUUUACGUGAGUGGUAGGGGAAUGUUAUCCGAUACAGAUGAUUAGUUGGAAGCUUUCAACUUCCUUUUGGUUGGAAGCAGACACAGAAAAUAUAUUUAGUUCAGCAAUAAAACUACUUGUGUUUUUCUGCAAAUAGUGUGUGAUACUGCUUCAAAAUAUAAUGUUUUUGGUGCAAAAGAGGCUCUUUUGCAUUCUCCCAUUUAACAAGUCCACCAUCCAUGUUUCUUCCUAUGAACUCUUCAGUCUGCUUAGCUUUUCCACCGCCAAAGACCAAAUUUCAGAUCAUAAAUCCUACUUUACAGUGGCCAACCCCCUUCAAUCAUGUGAACUUUCCUCGGAAACGGCUGCAAAAACAGCCAAGUUCCUCACCUGUCACACAAAAUCUUCAAGUUCAAGUCUUUCCAUUGAGUUCUUUAAGCAGAGCGGUUGGAGUGAUGCACGAGUCUUGAAGCUUACCCAGAGGGAACCCAGGUUCCUAUGUGCUGACAUAGAGACUGCCAUGAAGCCCAAGUUGAGAUCUUUGUAGGACAUGGGAUUUUCUGACACUGAAAUAGUUCAGCUGGUUUCAUCAUGUCCGACUAUGCUCCUUCUACAUGACAUCAAACAGAGGAUCAACUUCUGGAGGUCACUUCUUGGUUCUAAUGAGAGGUUAAUUAAAGCCAGCCGGAGGAACAUGUUUCUCUUUACUUCUAGCUUGGCUCGAAAGAUUGAGCCCAAUGUAUCUCUCUCGAGGGAAUGUGGCAUCAGUGAGCAACGCAUUGCGCAGAUGGUGGUGAGACUACCAAAUUUUUUAUGUCAAACAGAAAAAAUGUAUCAAGGAAGUUAUCAAAUAUGUUGAGGAGUUGGGUGUGUCACGUGGCUGUAAAAUGUUCCCUCGUGUACUAUUAGCAGUCAUGACCCUGAGCAGGUCCAGGUUUGACGCUACCUUUGCAACCCUGAUUAAUUAUGGGUGGUCCCAACCAGAUUGCGUUGCUGCAUUCAGGAAGUAUCCAUCCAUUUAGUGUUUGCCAAAGAAGACCUUAUGUGACUAGAUGACAUUCCAGAUGAAGGAAGCUGGUUGUGAGUUGACAUAUAUCAUUUGCCGUCCUAUAACGAUUUUAGCUAGAAUUGCCUAAGACAUAAGGUACCUUUGCGUCAAAGACACGAACUUAGCUUGCGUUGUCUAUGUCGCGCUUCGUCCUUACGAUUUACGUUCGCAAAGAUUAGCCCACUUGCAACCUCUCGCAGGUCUCGAAACAUCUGUAAAAGAGAAAGUUGAUUAGUUUAAAGAACGAGCGACGGACAAGUCCCGACGUCUCGCGAAAAAGAGAAGCUUUACAAGUAAUUCAGCGAGCAACUUGUAUGCACAAGAGAAAAGAGGGAGAGGGGGAAAACAAGGAUUUUAGAAGGUUGAACGAACAGUUGUAAGUCCGCAAACAGUUGCUCACCCGACACUAUACCGAGGUCUCAUUCAGCCUUGUGCCACCCAGGUGGUUCUAGGGUGCUGAGAUGGCUAACGUUUCACGUGCAGCAGCGGGCUGCAGAAAUCAGCCUGUGGCAUGGGAAAACAGAGCCUUUUUGGGGUCGUUUUGCUUGGUUCGGCGAGUGGUCACACCGUAGCGUUAUAACUUAUUCGAACUUACAUUUUUACAAACAAAAAGACUUAAAACUAAGCCAAAACAUGUUGCCAAGCAAUUAUACAUGUAGACGAGAACGACGAAUGAUUCGGUGAACGGAGUUGUUCAAGGUGCGCAACGACCAUUCAUAACAUUCUCCCCCACUCAAAUUGUCGAUGCCCUCGUCGACGCUUGUUGAUAGUUGUUGAUGAUUGCUUCUUCAUGUCAUAGGGUGUCUUCAGGCUCCCAACUAGCUUCAGAUCGGGGAAGCUUUCGCCACUUCACCAAGUACACGGUCUGCUCAGCUCUAGUGGGUAGCUUUAUCUUGCGAUCUGCUAGAAUGGUUUCAACUCGCUUUUCGUAGGAGGCUGUGGUGGGGGGUAGCCAAGUUGGAACACUUCGGGAAGCAUCUUGCGGAUCCGAGUGGUAGGCUUUCAAGUUGCUGGCGUGAAGAAUAUUGUGAAUGUUGAACCACGUCGGCAGCUGCAACUUGUAGGAGACAUUAUCCACCCUACUGAUAAUUGGGAAGGGCCCUUCAUACUUGCGCACCAAUCCUUUAUGUAUUUUGUUUCUAAAGAAUUAGAGUGAUGCUGGUUGGAGCUUGACCAACACCAAAUCGUCGAUCUUGAACUCUUACGGUCGCCUACCAAAGUUUGCCCACUUCAUUCUUUUUGCUGUCUUCUCCAAGUAAGUCCACACAAUAUCUACAUUUCGGUGUCACUCCCUUGCAAAGUGGUAGGCUGAUGGAUUACUCCCAGUAUAUCCAAUUACUUUAGUGUGAGGAGUUGACGGUUGUUACCCUGUAAUAAUCUCGAAAGGGCUCUUGUUGGAUGCAGAGCUUCGCUUCAAGUUAUAGGAGAAUUGGGCAAUGUCCAAUAACUUCAUCCAAUCUUGUUGGUUGGCACUCACGUAGUGCCGAAGAAUAUUGCUGUAGGAGAUGAAAGCCACUGUCUCGACAAUCUUAGACUUGUUCUUCGAAUCAAAAUACAAUGCGUUGCCAAUAUUUAGAUGAUCAAAUCUUAUAUUUGCUGGUUUAGUUUGAAGGAGAAUAUAAUACUGGUAACAAUAGAAAGAGAUUUUAAUGCUUUGACUAAAUAUGUUUUCUUACGCAAGCAUAAAUAGUUCGGAUAUUAUGGCUUUUUAUAUUAUUGUUAUUGGUUGCACUUGUUGGAUUUAUUGGCAAAUUCUCACUGAUUUAGAUUAAUAGCUGAAGCAAUUGAAGUCACCGAGCGCCCGAUAAGUGGGCCGGGGGUGCGAGUUCAACCGGGUGCGGCCCAGGCGCCCGUCUGAUUAAGGCUGGGUCUAGCCCAAGUCAAGUCAAUUUGGAUCUCUGGUUCGAUUGAACCAGAUGAGAACGGCAUCCACAAAUUCGCACCCGUGCCCUAAAUGCAGCGGUGAAACUGUCUCCUUCUCCACAGCGACCGCGACUGCGGCGUUUUCCUUGGCGAAAGGCGGCAGCUGCGGUGGCAUCUUCCUACGUCGAGCUCUUAUCGCUGCGGCGUUUUCCUCGGCAAACGGUGGAUGCUGCGGUUUCCUCUCCGUCGGCGAACGGUGAUAGCGCCCGGUAUCUCUCUCUUACACAUCCUCCUCCUCCUCUUCCUCCUUCUCCGUCGCAAAAUCCCUUCCCCUCUCUCUUUCCCCGUUCAUCGCAGCCCACCGCCGCCCCGGCCUCAUCGCUGCCCCCUUUCCCCAAUCCCUCCUUCCUCUUCCCCUUUCGCCACAGCUCUCCCUCUUCCCCGACACCGUCCCACGACUCCAUAUGUAGCUGACGCUACAUAUAAUUUUUUUAGUGUAGUUUAAGUUAUUUACAUGAGGAAUCUUUCUCAUAAAUUAAGUUCCUUUAUCAGCAUAGAACCAAAUAAACUAGUAGCAUUUCUUGAUUGAGGCAGUUUUCUUAUCCCUUUAUUCAUUUUUCAGAAAAUUUAUUGCCUUUCUCUGGCCUUCCAGCUAUGUUGUUUUUUUUUGGUCAAGUUGCUCAUCAUCAUCAACAAUGCCCUUUUUAGCAUGUUGAACCUCACAAAUUACCCUUGUUAAUUAAUUAAACAGUGUCUUUUCUGCUUACCAGUCUUGCUAGACUUUUAACUAGAUCAUCUCUUUACAUUCUUAAUGAAAUGGAUCAAUUACUCCCCAAUGUUUCAGAUUUUAGUUGUAGGACAUUAGUGAAAUCGAUGUUAGAAAAAACAUUAUGCAUCUUCCAGUUAUUCUGAAUUCUGUAGUACCAUUUGCAAGUCAUUGAUGUUCAACCUAUAAGUAUAAACAUGAGUAUCGUCUGUAUACGAUCGACAUUGUAAAUGCCUAUGCCACUCUUAUGCAGCAUAUUUGAUGAAGACACAUUUGAUAUGGUUUUUAAAUUGCUACAGGGAUAUCUGAUGCUUGGUAGUGUCUAAACCCACCAACUACAAUAUAAAAAUAAGUGGAAGAUAGUGUCUGUGCGCUGGUGUUAUAUGAUGCCAUUAUUUCAGUGGUGGAGAAUUGCCCGGUUGUGAGCAUUAGAAUGAGUAACUAAUUAUAGGUACUUGUUAUCAACUCUCAAACACCAUUUAGAGACUUAUCUCUGGCAGAAAUGGCUGAUUGGAACUGAAUGCAUGUGGAUUAACACGAGUGGUAUAGGAAUGUUGUCUGAGACAGAUGAUUAGUAGAAAGUUUUCAACAUCCUUGAUUUGAGGUAGAAGAGGAAUUUGGACUUGGAGAGGGCAGAUUAAGACUACUUUUCUUGUAUUUUUCUGCAAACAGUACGUGAUACUGCCUCGAAAGACAAUGUUUUUGGUGCAGAAAAGGCUCUUUUGCCUUCUCUCAUGUAACAAGUCCACCAUCCAUGUUUCCUCCUAUCAACUCUGCAGUCUGUUUAGAUUUUCCACUGCCGAAGAGCACAGUUCAAAUCAUGGAUCAAACUUUACGUUGGUCGACCCCCUUGAGUCAUGUGAACUUUCCUCAAAAGAGGCUGCAAAAAGGGCCAAGGAUCGCAUCUGUGAAAAAGAACUUACAAGUUCAAGUCCUUCCAUUGAGUUCUUCAAGCAGAGCGGUUGGAGUGAUGCACUAGUCAUGAAGCUUUUGCAGAGGGAACCCAGGUUGUUGCUCGCUAAUGUAGAGACUGCCCUGAAGCCCAGGAUGAGAUCCUUGCAGGACAUGGGAUUUUCUGACACUGAAAUAAUUCAGCUGGUUUCAUCAUGUCCUACUCUGCUCCGUUUAAGUGAUAUCCAACCAAGGAUCAACUUCUGGAGGUCACUUCUUGGUUCUAAUGAGAGGUUAAUUAAAGCCAGCAGGAGGAACAUAUUUCUCCUUACUUCUAGCUUGGCUCAAAAGAUUGAGCCCAAUAUAUCUCUCUUGAGGGAAUGUGGCAUCAGUGAGCAAUGCAUCACGCAGAUGCUGGUGGUAGUACCGAGUUUUUUUUGUCGAAAGAACAAUUGUGUCAAUGAAUCUAUCAAACGUGUUGAGGAGUUUGGUGUGUCACGUGACAGUAAAAUGUUCCCUCAGGUACUUUUAACAGUCAUGACCCUCAGCUGGUCCAGGUUUCAUGCUACUUUUGAAACCCUGAUGAGCUUUGGGUGGUCCCAACCAGACAGCAUUGCUGCAUUCAGUAGGUAUCCAGUCAUUUGGAAUUACUCAAAGAAGAACUUAUCUGACAAGAUGACAUUCCUGAUGAAGGAAGCUGGUUGUGAGCUGACAUAUAUCGUUGGUCAUCCCAUGCUUCUUACAUAUAGCUUGGAGAAGAGGUUGAGACCUCGAUAUGAAGUUAUGAAUUUUCUUGAUCAGAAUAAAUUGCUGGAUAAAGGACAUGACCUGCUAUCUGUCAUCCUGCUAUCUGAAGAGAAGUUCAGAAACAAAUUCCUUUUCCUGCUACGCAAGGAGAAAUUUAUUGCUCAAUAUGAUUCCUAUGUUGUUGCUGUGCGGGGAAAGCACUACGUUGUUGUGGAAAACUAGGAUUGCAAGUGCUUCCUUAAGACAAAGUGUCGACCUAUUGCAUGCUGACUGCAAAUUAAUCAUUUUACAUUUGUGACAAUUUAAAAUUCUCCUUGAGUUUCUUGGAGUAUAACUUCCCUGUUGAUUUGGUGAUUGUUCUUCUAUUUAUGUUUUCUACAACAAAUGGUACUCAUUCUUUUAUGCUGAUGUCUCAGAAAUUGGUGUGGGGGAAAGUCAAUUACUUAAGAAAGGUAACCAAAAUAUCAAGCUUUUGUUUUCUGUUUCUAUCAUAUUUACCUGAUUCUGGCAGCCAUAUUGAUUACUGUGCUGUCAUUUAGAUGAUUGUGAUCUAAUUUAAUAAGGAUACCUUCCUUUUGAAUGGGGACAUCUCAAAGAAUUAUGUAAGAGCCGCUUGGACGGAAAAUACUUCAAAGGCAACCACAGAUGUGGAUAUGACUAACAUUUUUGUUGUAGUCAUAUACACACUCGCUCAUUAAAUAAUUAAGUCCAGUUUAACCGUUUAAUUGAACGCAUUAAACAACCUAUCUAUAUUAAGUUUGAUACACAUCUGUAUUGUUAUAUAAUUAGAUUGUGUGUUUUACUUUGCUUGUGCGAUCUAAUAGACCCAACAUUGCUCCCGUUUAAUUGUGUGUUUCAUUUUUUUCUUAUAAUGUUGUAUUAUCAUUUUGGUGUCUUCAACAUAAGGAAUAGUAUCAUUAUUUUUUUAGUGAUAUGUUUAGUUACUAAAACUUUAACUUAAUAAAAAUUUCUAAGAGGAAAGACUCAGAAAAGUGAACAAAAUAUAUUGUUGGAUGGUUGUGGGGGAACUAUUGAUUAUAAAUCAGUAAUGAUGUUAUGAUGUUGAAGAGUGUAAACUUCUUUUUAAAAAUUAUGAAAAGACAUAAAAGAUAUGCAUUUGUAAGAUUUUGGAUAAUAAAAAAAUACAAAUGAAGUUUACAUUUUUCAGCAAUAGUUUUUGAACCAAACAAUAACCUUUAGUACUUUGAAUAAUUAUCUUAUUGAAUUGUUUCUCAAACACUAUGUACUUCUAUGUUUUUUAUCAUGGGAAUGACCUAUUAAGUUGUAACAUCAUUAACUAUUUUUGUUUUUUUUCUUUUUCAUUAGGUCUCAAUAAAAUUCAUCUAUAUUUUUAUAAGGUCGAUAAAAUCAUCAUCUAAGUAAGAUACUUGAAACGGAUUAUAUAAACUACUCCUGUUGGGAUGCAUAUGUAAGUUAUGACAUACUACUCCAAAAUAGACCCAAAAUCUCAAUGCAUUUAGUUAACUAUAACUAGUCCUAACUAAAUCACAACUGAUUUGUUCUGACGGGUUUGAAUCACAACUGAAUCAAUGCAUUUAGUUAGGUAUAAAUAUGACUGGUUUGAAUUGAAUCAAACAGGUUCGUUGAUUGCAAAUCAAAUCGUAAUCUACCAGGGGUAAUUUAAUUGAGGUUCCUAGGUUUGAAAAAUUAAAAUCAAUGAUCCCAUAAUUGAUUAUUCCGCUUCCUAUUUAAACCAUCGAUUUGAUGGUGUUUUAUAUAGAUAAAAAACCCCAAUCAAAUAGGUUAUAGAUGGAUAAUUGGGCUUAAACAAUUGGGCCCAAUAGUAUGUGCUUGGACCAACAAUCGAAUGAAUGUCAAAUUGGCUAUAUUUAUGGGUACUUUAGUUAUUUUAUAAUUAAAAAUAUUAAAAUUAGAAAAUAAAUUAGUCAUUCCAAUAAGCAAAUAAUAGCUAGUUAUGAAGAUAUUUUAAGAAAAUAAAAAUAAAAACCCUAUAGAUACCCCCAAAAAAUCUUUUAUUGUUUCUCAGAUUAAGUAUUUGUUGAAGUUUGAAUGAUUUGAUGCUCUUUUCUUAAUCCGAUAGCAAGUGGAAGCUAUCACUUCACCAUUGAGGAGGCUUUUGGAUCAUGUGAAACAUUAGCUAUAUUUAUUUUUGUUAAAUAUUUAUUUAUAUCUACAAUGGAAUGUCUGUGAAAUAGUUUUAAAAAUUUUAAAAGUUUUUAGAAUGGUAACAUAUAGUUUGACUAGUGUUUAUAUGUUACUGUAAAUUUUUUUUCUUAGUUGUUUGCAUUGAUAUAGUUGGUGCAUUAUAAGAAUAUCAAUACGAUAAUAAUUUAAAUUUGAUAAUAAUGGCUACAAAAUAAAAAAUAUAAAUUAUUAUUAUUAAAUUUAUUGAUUUAUUUAAUUAUAUGGGUUUUUAAUUUUGUAUAGAUUAAAUGACUUUUGUAAUUAUUUAACCGCUUAUUAUGAAAGUUUAGGAGUCGAUGAUAUUAGUGAUAAGAUUAAAGAUAUUAAAAAAUUAAUUAUUAACUUACAUAAUGUUAACUAUAGUAGACAACAUGAUACCUUUGAAACUUCUUGGAUCUAAGUUAGCAAAGGUAAUAAAAUUUGUAAGGGAGAAAAACUAUUAUUACAAAGACAAAAGCAUCGAAAGGAUCUUAAAGCUAAAACUUCAAGUUUAUUUUGUAUCUAAUAAUGUUUUUAAAGUUUGAUGAUAGCUCUAAGUAUAGAGUUUUCUAUUCUUGAAUAAUGGACAUGAUACAUAAAAACAUUUUUAGUUUUAAGGAUUAAUACUAGUACUUUAGUGUCCAUAGUAUCUGUGGAGUCAACCUUCAAUAUAAGAGGACGAGUUCUAUGUGAAACUAGAUUAAAUAUGACUCUCGAACCAAUUGAUGUUUAAGUAUGUAUUAAUAGAUAAAAGCGAUAAAAUAGAACCAAUACAAAGAUGUCCAAUAUUAAAAUUGAUUAAAUAUUUAUAAAUUUACAUAAAUUUGUAUUAACUUUUUUUAUUAUAUCCUAACACAUUAUACAUCCAUGUUUAAAUUAAAAAAAUUAUAAUUUUUAAAUAAAAAUAAUAAAAAAAAUAUCAGUUCAAACUAAAAUCAAAAUCGAUCAAACUGGAACUGAACCUUACCGGUUCGAUUUUUUAUUAUAAAUUUUGCCAAACUAGAAAUGAUAAUUCCGGAAUUGAAAUCAAUUUACUUAGACUAGAUAUAACCUUACUGAAAGCCACCCUCUCCAUAAUCUGAGACUUGUUCUUUAACUCAAAACACAAUGCCCUAUCAAUAUUAAGAUUAUCAAAUCUUAUAUUUGCUGGUUUAGUUAGUGAGUUGAAGGAGAAUAUAAUAAUAUGGUAACAAUAAAAAGAGAUUUGAAUGCUUUAAAUUUGACUACAUAUGUUUUCUUACACAGAGCAUAAAUAGUUUGGAUAUUAUGGCUUUUGUUAUUAUUGUUAUUGUUUGCACUUGUUGGAUUUGUUAGCAAAUUCUCACUGAUUUAGAUUAUGUCAGUGAAGAUUCUCACUGAUUUAGAUUAUGGUUUUAUUGAGAAAGUUCUUUACUACAGCUGAAGCCAUUGAUGUCACCGGCCGCCCGAUAAGUGGGCCGAGCGAGCGAGUUCAACCGGGUGCAGCCCAGGCGCCCACGUGAUUCAGAUUGCCUCAAGCCCGAGUCAAGUCAAUUUGGACAAAUGGUUCGAUUGAACCAGAUGAGAACGGCUUCCUCAAAAUUCCCACCCGUGCCCUAACUGCAGAGGUGAAACUGUCUCCUCCUAUACAGCGACCGCGAAUGCGGCGUUUUACUUGGCGAAAGGCGGCUGAAGCGGCGGCAUCUUCCUCCGUCGAGCUCUUAUCGCUGCGGCGUUUUCCUCGGAGAACGGUGGAUGCUGCGGCUUCCUCUCCGUCGGCGAAUGGUGACAGCGCCCGGUAUCUCUCUCUUACUCCUCCUCCUCUUCCUCCGUCGCCGUUAAUUAUAUGUGCUUUCCUCCGUCGCACAAUUCCUUCCCCUCUCUCUUCCCCCGUUCAUCGCAGCCCACGGCCGCCCCCGCCUCGUCGCUGCCCCCUUUCCCCAAUCCCUCCUUCCUCUUCCCCUUUCGCGACAGCUCUCCCGCUUCCCGCUUCCCGCUUCCCCGACACCGCCCCCAGACUCCAUAUGUAGCUGAUGCUACAUAUAAUUUUUUUUACUGUAGUUGAAGUUAUUUACAUGAGCAAUCUUUCUCAUAAAUUAAGUUCUUUUAUCAGCAUAGAACCAAAUAAACUAGUAGCAUUUCUUGAUUGAGGCAGUUUUCUUAGCUCUGUAUUCAUUUUUAAGAAAAUUUAUUGCCUUUCUCUGGUCUUCCAGCUAUGUUGUUUUUUUUUUUUGUCAAGUUGCUUAGCAUCAUCAACAAUGCCUUUUUUAGCAUGUUGAACCUCACAAUUUACUGUUGUUAAUUAAUUCAACAGUGUCUUUUCUACUGACCGGUCUUGCAAGACUUAUAACUAGAUCAUCUCUCUAAAUUCUUGAUGAAAAGGAUCAAUUAUUCUGGAAGUGCUUAUUUGAAAUGUUCCAGGUUUUAGUUAUAGGACAUUAGUGAAUCUGAUGUUAGAGAAAACAUUAUGCACCUUCCUGUUACUCUGAAUUCUGUACUACCAUUUGCGAGUCAUUGAUGUUCAACCUACAAGUAUAAACUUGAGUAUCGUCUGUGUACGAUCGACAUUGUAAAUGCCUAUGCCACUCUUAUGCAGCAUAUUUGAUGAAGAUACAUUUGAUAUGGUUUUUCAAUUGCUACAGGGAUAUAGGAUGCUUGAUAGUGUCUAAACCCACCAACUACAAUAUAAAAAUAAGUGGAAGAUAGUGUCUGUGCUCUGGUGUUAUAUGAUGCCAGUAUUUCAGUGGUGGAGAAUUGCUCGGAUGUGAGCAUUAGAAUGAGUAACGAAUUAUAGGUACUCGUUAUCAACUCUCAAACACCAUUUAGAGACUUAUCUCUGGAAGAAAUGGCUGAUUGGAGCUGAAUGCAUGUGGAUUAACACGAGUGGUAUAGGAAUGUUGUCUGAGACAGAUGAUUAGUAGAAAUUUUUCAACAUCCUUGAUUUGAGGUAGAAGAGGAAUUUGGACUUGGAGAGGGCAGAUUAAGACUACUUUUCUUGUAUUUUUCUGCAAACAGUACGUGAUACUGCCUCAAAAGACAAUGUUUUUGGUGCAGAAGAGGCUCUUUUGCCUUCUCUCGUGUAACAAGUCCACUGUCCAUGUUUCCUCCUAUCAACUCUGCAGUCUGUUUAGCUUUUCCACUGCCGAAGAGCACAGUUCAAAUCAUGGAUCCAACUUUACGUUGGUCGACCCCCUUGAGUCAUGUGAACUUUCCUCAAAAGAGGCUGCAAAAAGGGCCAAGGAUCGCAUCUGUGAAAAAGAACUUUCAAGUUCAAGUCCUUCCAUUGAGUUCUUCAAGCAGAGCGGUUGGAGUGAUCCACUAGUCAUGAAGCUUUUGCAGAGGGAACCCAGGCUUCUACGUGCUAACGUAGAGACUAUCCUGAAGCCUAGGAUGAGAUCUUUGCAGGACAUGGGAUUUUCUGACACUGAAAUAGUUCAGCUGGUUUCAUCAUGUCCGUGUCUGCUCUAUAUACGUGAUAUCCAACCAAGGAUCGACUUCUGGAGGUCACUUCUUGGUUCUAAUGAGAUGUUAAUUAAAGCCUGCAGGAGGAACAUGUUUCUCCUUGCUUCUAGCUUGG